GAAGCAGCACUACAGGAUUCACUUAGUAACGGCGAGUGAACAGGGAAAAGCCCAGCACCGAAGCCUGUGGGCCGAUUGGUUACUAGGCAAUGUGGUGUUUAGGUCAUUCCGCGAAAGCACUGCUCCAUCCCAAGUCCAGCCAUGAGUACGGUAAUUUUACGUGGCCCAAAGAGGGUGAAAGGCCCGUGAUGGUGGUUGCAGUGUUUUUCUGGAUAGACCUUGGAGUCGGGUUGUUUGAGAAUGCAGCCCAAAGUGGGUGGUAAACUCCAUCCAAGGCUAAAUACUAACACGAGUCCGAUAGCGAACAAGUACCGUGAGGGAAAGUUGAAAAGUACUUGGAGGUAAACAGUGGCGUGAAACCGCUCAGAGGUAAACGGGUGGAGUUGAACUGUGAUCUCUACGAAUUCAGCUUGUGAGUUUGGCUUGCGCUUGGGCAAAUUGGUCGUUAUAUGGGGUCUGCUUAGCUGCAGGUCUCUGCCUUCGGGUGGGGAUGCGCGAGACACUAGUCAUGUGUUGCGUGCCUCUUUUAGUCGUGCCAGCUCGCUUGUGCAUUUUCGCAGAGUGUUCACCACGACCCGGCAUUGCUGUCUGACUGUUGUGGUUAAACCGGCCUUUGCAUUGUCCUUGCGGCUUUGGAUGGUCGGGAUGGCAGGUAGCUCAAAUGGCUGGGUUUGCAGUUCGCUGUAAGCUGUCUUUGGGUGUAAUCAGCUGACCAUAUCGGUUCUGUGCAGUAUGUCGGAGACGGCGGCUUGUGGUGUGUGCGUGCGUACCAGUUGACUGGCGCGUCCGAGUUUGGUUAUUAUGUAGCCUGUUUGGAUAGGCCUAAUGAUAGCUCGGAUUCGUUUGGUUGGCGGUGGCGUGCGUGUCACUAAUCAGGGCCAAUAGUCUGUGGUGUUGCGGUAGAUUUUCCAACCUGACCCGUCUUGAAACACGGACCAAGGAGAGUAACAUGUGCGCGAGUCAUUGGGCGUAACGAAACCCAAAGGCGAAGUGAAAGUGAAGGUCUGGCUUGUCCGGACUUAGGUGAGAUCUUGUCGUUUCUCACGCGUGGUAUUACCAAGCAUCGAGCGGCAGGCGCAUCACCGGCCCGUCCCAUGGUGUGAAGACACUUUUUGGAGAGUCUGACAUCGGGGCGGAGCAUGAGCGUACAUGUUGAGACCCGAAAGAUGGUGAACUAUGCUUGCGCAGGUUGAAGCCAGAGGAAACUCUGGUGGAGGACCGCAGCGAUUCUGACGUGCAAAUCGAUCGUCAGACGUGAGUAUAGGGCGAAAGACUAAUCGAACCCAUUAA
rnacentral:rRNA from 1 species